rnacentral:tRNA from 1 species
GGCUGGGGCUCAGUGGUAGAGUGCUCACCUAGCAUGUGCAAGGCCCUGGGUUGGAUUCUCAGCACUAGGUA